GUAAUGCAUUAGCAUCCGCAAUCGAACUUCGGAUUGACUUGGCGUAAUAGACUAUUCGCUGAGGAAUUCUAGUCUUCGGACUAGAGCCGGGUUGGGUUAAAGGAAGCUUCUAAUCAGAAUGUCUACAUUUUAAGAUUAGAUCUCAAAUCAGGUAGGACUACCCGCUGAACUUAAGCAUAUCAAUAAGCGGAGGAAAAGAAACUAACAAGGAUUCCCCUAGUAGCGGCGAGCGAAGCGGGAAGAGCUCAAAUUUAUAAUCUGGCACCUUCGGUGUCCGAGUUGUAAUCUCUAGAAAUGUUUUCCGCGUUGGACCGCACACAAGUCUGUUGGAAUACAGCGGCAUAGUGGUGAGACCCCCGUAUAUGGUGCGGACGCCCAGCGCUUUGUGAUACAUUUUCGAAGAGUCGAGUUGUUUGGGAAUGCAGCUCAAAUUGGGUGGUAAAUUCCAUCUAAAGCUAAAUAUUGGCGAGAGACCGAUAGCGAACAAGUACCGUGAGGGAAAGAUGAAAAGCACUUUGGAAAGAGAGUUAACAGUACGUGAAAUUGUUGGAAGGGAAACGCUUGAAGUCAGACUUGCUUGCCGAGCAAUCGGUUUGCAGGCCAGCAUCAGUUUUCCGGGAUGGAUAAUGGUAGAGAGAAGGUAGCAGUUUCGGCUGUGUUAUAGCUCUCUGCUGGAUACAUCUUGGGGGACUGAGGAACGCAGUGUGCCUUUGGCGGGGGUUUCGAC
rnacentral:rRNA from 1 species